rnacentral:ncRNA from 2 species
CAAUGUGCCCGGGGUCGGUGAAAGUCCGAACCGGCGGUGAUAGUCCGCGACCCACGAUCCACACGGUGAGUGGUUGAACCGGUGGAAUUCCGGUACCGACGGUGAGAGUCCGGAUGGGAGAGCACGUCA